rfam:TPA: Bos taurus chromosome 6, whole genome shotgun sequence.
UCCCUCGUAUCUCAGUCGGUAAAGAAUCUGCCUCCAAUGCAGGAGACCCGGGUUCAAUUCCUGGGUCGGGAA